rnacentral:misc_RNA from 1 species
UACAGAGGGUGCAAGCGUUGUUCGGAAUUGCUGGGCGUAAAGCGCGUGUAGGCGGCGGCAUAAGUCGACUGUGAAAGCCCUUGGCUCAACCAAGGAAGUGCAUUCGAUACUGUGUCGCUUGAGUACCGGAGGGGAUGGCGGAAUUCCUGGUGUAGAGGUGAAAUUCGUAGAUAUCAGGAGGAACACCUGUGGCGAAGGCGGCCAUCUGGACGGUAACUGACGCUGAGACGCGAAAGCGUGGGUAGCAAACAGG